GACGAGCGGCGGACGGGUGAGUAAUGUCUGGGAAACUGCCUGAUGGAGGGGGAUAACUACUGGAAACGGUAGCUAAUACCGCAUAAUGUCGCAAGACCAAAGUGGGGGACCUUCGGGCCUCAUGCCAUCAGAUGUGCCCAGAUGGGAUUAGCUAGUAGGUGGGGUAACGGCUCACCUAGGCGACGAUCCCUAGCUGGUCUGAGAGGAUGACCAGCCACACUGGAACUGAGACACGGUCCAGACUCCUACGGGAGGCAGCAGUGGGGAAUAUUGCACAAUGGGCGCAAGCCUGAUGCAGCCAUGCCGCGUGUGUGAAGAAGGCCUUCGGGUUGUAAAGCACUUUCAGCGGGGAGGAAGGCGUUAAGGUUAAUAACCUUGGCGAUUGACGUUACCCGCAGAAGAAGCACCGGCUAACUCCGUGCCAGCAGCCGCGGUAAUACGGAGGGUGCAAGCGUUAAUCGGAAUUACUGGGCGUAAAGCGCACGCAGGCGGUCUGUCAAGUCGGAUGUGAAAUCCCCGGGCUCAACCUGGGAACUGCAUUCGAAACUGGCAGGCUAGAGUCUUGUAGAGGGGGGUAGAAUUCCAGGUGUAGCGGUGAAAUGCGUAGAGAUCUGGAGGAAUACCGGUGGCGAAGGCGGCCCCCUGGACAAAGACUGACGCUCAGGUGCGAAAGCGUGGGGAGCAAACAGGAUUAAAUACCCUGGUAGUCCACGCCGUAAACGAUGUCGAUUUGGAGGUUGUGC
rnacentral:rRNA from 1 species